AGGCGCCCGCCCAUUGGCCGCCGCGCGUCACGUGACGCGCUCCCGUCGUUUAAACACUUUUUUCUUCUCCCCCGUCGGCUUUUUUCCGGCUUUCCUCCCUCGAAAUGCAACAGUGACAUCGCGAUGCAUCGACUCCCGAACUGAAAUGGGAGGAUCCGGUAGAGAAAGUCGUUUCAUGCCAGUGGGGAAAUGGAUGACAUCCUAUGCGACUGAUGGGAGUCAGUGGACUGGUCCAUAGAGAAUCUUCGGCCAGCUUGAAUGAGUAUGGCACUGCAGUGACAUUCAACACUGGUGAAUGUACUGAGACAAACCCAAGACCAUGAGCGCAACUAUGUGAUGAAGACUAGUUUGCCGGGAAGAAAUCCUAGACACUCAGCACCUGUACUGAGGCAAAGGAUAAGUGGCCCGAGCAAUGCUGAGACAUCAGAACCUCUAUCUGCCCACGAACACACACUUACUACAGAGUCCGUCUGAGUUGCCUCUUCAAGCUCAUAGCUGAGCUGCCAGGAAGAAACCUGAGUCUGCCAGCGCCUCCUCAUGAGGCAAGGGUGAACUGCAAGAAGAAGCCUGAGAUCGUCAUGCCACCUCCUUCUGACCAGUAAGCUGUUGGGACAAGACCGAGAUAUGCCAGCAUCGUUGUACAUGCGCUCUAAUGGUGAGGGACAGCAUCCAUCUGCGGUCCUGGACUUUUUUACCACUGUAAAUAAAAUAUAUCAUGUUUGGACCACUUAAUUAUCUUGGGAGUUGCAAAUGGAAAUGAAGGGCGUGAAAGCAAGCGCCCCAAACUGAUCUUGUGAUGGAGAAAUUUUAUUCGACUGAGGUUCUAAUCUGAUCUAGAACACAAAUUGGACAUCAAUGGGCUGUUUAUUAUUGAAUGGACCCUUAAAUAAGGAAGGAACAGGACAGAAGUGAUGUGACCUUUUUGUUGCCUUGGAGGCUGAAACAAAUGUGUCAUACGAGAGGGAGAAGGUCUGAAAAUGAACCCCACUCCAAAGGAUGCUUAUGAUGUGUUAAUCAUCAUCUAGGAACUCAGCAAAUUCAUUUCACUUGCACUUUAUGUGCAAGUGACGAAUAAAAUAUGACUUGACUUGACUUGAGAAUCCAGCAUUUGUAAGCUACAAAAUAUUUAAGUGUACGAUAUCUUUCAGCCCAAGUUGAAUCUGUGCAGAACCUACAUUUUAUAGCUUGGAUGCUGGAGUACCUCACAAAAUGCUGGAGUAACUCAGAGGAACAGGCAGCCUCUCUGGAUGGAAGGAAUGGGUGACGUUUCGGGUCGAGGCCCUUCUUAGCUUUGACAACAUUUCCUCUUUUGCAAACGUAUCUUGUCAAUUAAACAAUUUU